rnacentral:rRNA from 1 species
GUGGAUUAGAUACCCUGGUAGUCCUAGCUGUAAACGAUGGAUACUAGGUGUUGUCUGUAUCGACCCGGACAGUGCCGUAGCUAACGCGUUAAGUAUCCCGCCUGGGGAGUACGCACGCAAGUGUGAAACUCAAAGGAAUUGACGGGGGCCCGCACAAGCGGUGGAGUAUGUGGUUUAAUUCGAUGCAACGCGAAGAACCUUACCAGGGCUUGACAUGUCCGGAACCCCGGUGAAAGCUGGGGGUGCCUUAGGGAGCCGGAACACAGGUGGUGCACGGCCGUCGACAACU